AUUGAACGCUGGCGGCAUGCCUUACACAUGCAAGUCGAACGGUAACGGGCCUUCGGGUGCCGACGAGUGGCGAACGGGUGAGUAAUACAUCGGAACGUGCCCGAUCGUGGGGGAUAACGAGGCGAAAGCUUUGCUAAUACCGCAUACGAUCUACGGAUGAAAGCAGGGGACCGCAAGGCCUUGCGCGAACGGAGCGGCCGAUGGCAGAUUAGGUAGUUGGUGGGAUAAAAGCUUACCAAGCCGACGAUCUGUAGCUGGUCUGAGAGGAUGAUCAGCCACACUGGGACUGAGACACGGCCCAGACUCCUACGGGAGGCAGCAGUGGGGAAUUUUGGACAAUGGGCGCAAGCCUGAUCCAGCCAUGCCGCGUGCAGGAUGAAGGCCUUCGGGUUGUAAACUGCUUUUGUACGGAACGAAAAGCCUUCUUUUAAUACAGGAGGGUCAUGACGGUACCGUAAGAAUAAGCACCGGCUAACUACGUG
rnacentral:rRNA from 1 species